GUUUCCUGUGCUAUUCUUGUGAUUGACAGUGAAUGAGUCUCACAAGAUCUGACGGUUUUUAAAAACGGGAGUUUCCCUGCACAAAUUUGCUUGCUGGCAACCAUGUGAGAUGGGACUUUCUCCUCCUUGACUUUCGCCAUGAUUGUGAGGCCUUCCCAGCCAUGUGGAACUCUUCUUUCGUGGCAAUUUUCCCCCAGGAGGGAUUUCCCUGCAGUGGACCUCCUCCCCAGUGGUACCUUCAGCCAUCAGAACACCUCGCUUUAGAUCUGUGGGUCCCAAAUUUCAUCAAAUCCAAUGACCAUUUCUAUGAUCACUCAUUCUGGGGGCAGCCCUCUGGCAUGUAAUGAGCAGUCCUAUGGAGAGGCCCAUGUGACAGUAGCCAUGCGAGUGACACUGGAAGUGAAACCUGCAGCUCCAGUCAAGCCUUUAGAAGACUGCAGCCCUGGCUGACAGCUUGACAGCAAACUCAUGAGAGACUCUCAGCUUGAACAACUCAGCUAAACUGUUCCUGGGUUCCUGGUCCUCAAAAACUCUGGAAUUCUGUGAAGCACAUGACCUCAAGUCUUUGGAUAAAUGGAAACGCAGCUUAUGCCGGAAAGAUGGGGUGUGUUUUCCUCUAAUGCUUUCCUGAAGACUCGGCAAUCAGCUACCCUCCAGAGUUGCUGCCUUCAAAUAAUGACUACCUCAGAAACUGAUGGAAAAGAACUGUACCAUGUACUUUUAAACUAUUGACACUUCUAAAAAUAGACUCUUUCAUAUAGGCUUCUGUGCUUAGCAACUUUUA
rnacentral:lncRNA from 1 species